GCUAGAUUUGGCAAGAGGGCGAAGGAGGAACCACCUAUUGCGCUUUGUGAUUACUCGUUUCUCCACGUCUACGGAUAAACUGCCCGUUGCCACGUCAGCUCCCUCUUUCCCCUGCACACAGACACUGUGCCCCCCAAAAUCAUCUGUAUUGUUGCACCAGUUUUUACUGAAUAUUUUUUUUUCCUCUCUUGUUCUUGUUUUUUGUCCGCGAACCUAAGCACUUUCUCGUAUAUGGCUACCAAAUUUCAGCAUAACAGCCUUUUACCGUCAAGGUCCACAAUUCUCUAAUUUCUUCUUAGAUUAUUUUUAUUUUUCUCCGCAACUGCAUUUUCUUUCGGCAGAGUGAUCUAAUAUUUGCAAAGAUGAUAAGCUCUUCAAAUCCAUGGGUUUCACAUAAGGCAACCAGAAUGCAAUAUUCCUGCAAAAAAGUUAGUGGCUUGGAUCGUGUACUUAGUUGUUGGGGCAAUUCAAGGAAGAAAUGCCUUAUAAGACUGGUUUUUUUGGAAAACACUGUUCACGCUCAUAGGAAGCAUUCUUUAACGUUUAGAAGCUCAAGAAGAAUGGGGAAUCUCAUCCUCUUUGCAUCUGCCGAUGAUGGUGUUACAGUUAAUGGGACUCCCCAAGCAAGUACCAGCAGUGUUGUCGAGGAAAUGAGGGUCAAACUUAAUCAGACUCUGCAUGGGGAAGAGUAUAGUGAUGGACUUGUUCAAUUUUUACAUGAUGCAGCAAGGGUAUUUGAGUUGGCAAUCAAAGAACAAGGUUCGUGGUCGAGGUUCUCGUGGUUUGCAACUUCAUGGCUUGGUGCAGACCGAAAUGCUUGGGUGAAAACACUAUCUUAUCAGGCUUCUGCUUAUUCUUUACUGCAAGCUGCAAGUGAGAUUGCUUCCAGAGGUGAUGGUAGAGACAGGGAUAUAAACCUUUUUGUCCAAAAGAGUUUAUUACGACAAUCAGCUUCGCUCGAGAGCUUAAUGAGGGAUAAACUAUCUACCAAGCAACCUGAAGCAUAUGAGUGGUUUUGGUCUGAGCAAGUUCCAUUGGUGGUAUCAUCUUUUGUAAAUUACAUAGAAGGGGACUCACGCUUUACUGCUGCAACCUCUGUAUCUGGAAAGGGUAUGUCUUUGGGUUCUGUUAAGGCAAGUGACAUAUCACUGCUUAUGCUUGGGCUUACAUGCAAUGCAGCAAUUACAAAACUUGGCUCAGCGAAAGUUUCUUGCUCUCAAUUUUUUACCACAAUUCCAGAAAUAACUGGUAGAUUGAUGGACAUGCUGGUUGAUUUUAUUCCUAUAAGCGAAGCUUAUCGUUCUAUAAAGGAUAUUGGUCUUCGCAGAGAGUUUCUUGUUCAUUUUGGUCCACGAGCUGCAGCAUGUAGAGUGAAAAAUGAUCGGGCUUCAGAAGAAGUUAUUUUCUGGGUGGAUCUUGUUCAAAAGCAGUUGCAACGAGCUAUAGAUAGAGAGAAAAUAUGGUCGAGACUGACAACAUCUGAAAGUAUUGAGGUUUUGGAGAGGGAUUUAGCUAUAUUUGGAUUCUUUGUUGCCUUGGGCAGAAGUACACAAUCCUUCCUAUCUGCCAAUGGCUUCGAUGUUAUGGAUGAUCCACUCGAAGGCUUUGUAAGGUUCCUUAUCGGGGGCAGUGUUCUAUACUAUCCUCAGCUGUCAUCUAUAAGUUCUUAUCAGUUAUAUGUUGAGGUAGUCUGUGAAGAGUUGGACUGGCUUCCGUUCUAUCCAGGCAACAUUGGCAACUCAAAGCAGUUUCAAGGCCAUAGAAGUGAACAAGAAAUUGUUCCAAAUGCAGAAGCAAUCCCACAAGUAUUAGAAGUAUGCUCUUAUUGGAUGCAAAGUUUUAUUAAGUAUAGUAAAUGGCUGGAGAACCCUUCUAAUAUUAAGGCAGCAAAUUUCUUGUCUAAAGGGCACAACAAGUUAAUGGAGUGCAUGGAAGCAAUGGGAAUAUCAAAGAAUGAGAAGAUGGAAAACCGAACUGGUGAUUAUGUUGAGAGGAUUAGAACUGGAGCCUAUUCACCUACUGAGAAAGAGUCGGAUUCUUUUGACAAGGCUUUGGAGAGUGUUGAAGGAGCUUUGGUAAGACUUGAAAAGUUGCUUCAAGAUUUGCAUGUUUCAAGUUCCAACUCUGGAAAAGAGCAUUUGAAAGCAGCUUGUUCUGACCUUGAGAAAAUAAGAAAACUUAAAAAAGAGGCUGAAUUUCUGGAGGCAUCUUUCAGAGCUAAAGCAGCCUCACUUCGUCAGGGAGACGAUUAUAUUCAAACCCCACCUUCUGUCAGUGAGCAGCAACAGAUUCUGAAAGGGAGUAAUGGAAAGGUUGUUAAUCCCAUGGCAGAGGGGAGCAAAAGGAUCACUGGUAAAAAUCGUGGCCUAUGGAGCAUCUUUAUGCGCCCUACAACCAGGAAGGCCAAUCCUGAGAUAAUUUCUGAUGAAUUUGAGAAUGAAUUUGUUGAGCAGACGGCUUCAAAUAUUUGUGCAGUGGACUCAGAAUCAAAUGAAAUUAAUCGUUUUGAGCAUUUAAGAAAUGAGCUUAUAGAACUUGAAAAACGGGUUCAAAGAAGUACUGGUCAAUCAGAAAAUGAGGAGGAUGUUAAGCUUUCAGAUGCUAGUGUUACUCAACUGUUCCUGGUUCAGAAGAAAGAAAAUAUUAUUGAAAAAUCAUUUGGCAAGCUAAAAGAAGCAAGCAUAGAUGUCCUGCAAGGAACUCAGCUUUUAGCUGUUGAUGUCACUGCUGCUAUGGGGUUGCUUAGAAGGACCUUGAUAGGAGAUGAACUGACUGAAAAAGAAAAGAAAUCCCUCCGGAGAACUAUGACCGACUUAGCAUCAGUUGUUCCAAUUGGUGUUUUAAUGCUUCUUCCCGUCACUGCAGUAGGGCAUGCAGCUAUUUUGGCUGCAAUUCAAAGAUAUGUGCCAGCCCUGAUACCAUCUACAUAUGGAACAGAAAGGUUGGAUCUCUUGAGACAGCUUGAGAAAGUAAAGGAAAUGGAAACCAGUGAAGAAAAUCCCGAUGGAGGUGUGGAAGAAGCAGCCUGAGUAUAACCAUUGCUGACUAUGCACAGUUCAGACCAAAACAAGUUUCAAUUUACAAGGCACCAGUGGCUACAGUCUUGUGGAGCAGAAGGUGGAGUCCCUGGUUCACGAUAUUUUGAAGGGUGACCGUCCUUCCUGAACUCCGUUAGAUAUGUGAUGUUUAAGUACUGGACAUUCCAGUUUCCAUAAUCCAUUUGUUUGAUUGCAUUAUAUAUAACAAGAUUUUGAAACGGAUCAGAUUCAAGAUUUGUGUAGUUUGUCUCUGGUCCCACAUUUGAAUCACACCAGCCGCCUUCGUUCCAUGUGCCGUUCCUGCGAUUUCAUGUGUUAAGAAAACAUCAAAAAUUCAUUACCUCUGUAAUUACUACAUUUAGGCUGUGGUGGAGGCCAUGAAGUAAAAGAAAGUAUUACUGAAAUUUUAUUCUUUAUUACUAAAAAAAUAAUACAUUUUUUGGUUAAAUGCUAAACAACUGAAAAUGUAUAUUGUCAUUUGACGUGAAUGGGAUGGAAAACCUUAUCUAAAA